GACGAACGCUGGCGGCGUGCUUAACACAUGCAAGUCGAACGGAAAGGCCCUGCCUUUGUGGGGUGCUCGAGUGGCGAACGGGUGAGUAACACGUGAGUAACCUGCCCUUGACUUUGGGAUAACUUCAGGAAACUGGGGCUAAUACCGGAUAGGAGCUCCUGCUGCAUGGUGGGGGUUGGAAAGUUUCGGCGGUUGGGGAUGGACUCGCGGCUUAUCAGCUUGUUGGUGGGGUAGUGGCUUACCAAGGCCUUGACGGGUAGCCGGCCUGAGAGGGUGACCGGCCACAUUGGGACUGAGAUGCGGCCCGGACUCCUACCGGAGGCAGCAGUGGGGAAUAGUGCACUAUGGGCGGAAGCCUGAUGCAACAACGCCGCGUGCGGGAUGACGGCCUUCGGGUUGUAAACCGAUUUCGCCUGUGACGAAGCGUGAGUGACGGUAAUGGGUAAAGAAGCACCGGCUAACUACGUG
rnacentral:rRNA from 1 species